GGGUCAGAACAGAGGUCAGAGAGUACUUUACAAGUAGCCUAACUGCAAGUUUCUCAACUAUGUACAAUGGCACUGCUGGUUAAGGUAUGCUAUGCGUAGAUCGCUAAUCGCGUGGCGUGUCCAACGCCUGCACCGUGCCUCUGGCUCCGGGUGAUCCCCUUGACCGAACGUCGCUCAAGACCUCCUGGCACCUCUGGAAUCGGGGACACGCUACUUCUACACAUGGAUUAACGUCCCAUGGGCGCUAAGAGGCGGAAGAGGCGUGACUUCGCGACUCUAUGCUAAUCCAUGUGUCCACGUGAUGACAUUACUUGGAAAAAAUACUCCUGACAUUUUUAACACUACAUGGCAUGCCUACCGUAACUUUCCCUAGAAAGUACAAUAUGAAUUCUGUAGCCUACAUGAUCUUAAAACACAUUUUAACACUGGAGAAAUGGCAGUCGAAAUAGGAUCUCUCACUCUCCCCUGUGUGCUGUGUCUGAGACUUCCAGUGGGCGUUCAAACAAUGUUCAUCCUACCCUGAGAGCAGGCCCAUAAAAGAGAGAACUUGCUCACAGUCUGUCUCUGGCACCUCCUGAGUGCGGUACUCAGACAAGACUUCCGUUUGGGGGGUGCUGGUAAUUCACCUUUGGUUUGUUUUGUAGUUGGAUGUCUCGUGUUGUUUUGGUUUGCUCACUGCAACCUGCUGGUUUGACAACGCGGUGUGCUUUGCCCAGUCGUCUCCCCUUCUUCUGUUUGUUCUGAUCUCCAGACCUUGUUUGUUGUUAGGCUGUAUUUUUUUAAUGCAUACACUGGUCCAUCAUCCAAUUGUUGCUUGGGUAGUUGGUCAAUUAUGUCAUUGCAUCAUUUGUUUUGUGUCUGCAAACCAAUAUUUGACAACUGUGUACAGCAGUGUUUCCGAAACUUUUUCCAUCGCGACCCAAUUCACAAUAGGCCUUAUCUAUAAAAUCGUGAACAAAUUUGUGCAUAAAUCACAACUUUGUUUAAUGCAUGUGCCACUUGCUAUUGAAAACAUACAACACGUAUUAAAUACUCUGCCCUAAAUGA